UACGAAGGGGGCUAGCGUUGCUCGGAAUCACUGGGCGUAAAGCGCACGUAGGCGGCUUUUUAAGUCAGGGGUGAAAUCCUGGAGCUCAACUCCAGAACUGCCUUUGAUACUGGGAAGCUUGAGUCCGGGAGAGGUGAGUGGAACUCCGAGUGUAGAGGUGAAAUUCGUAGAUAUUGGGAAGAACACCGGUGGCGAAGGCGGCCAUCUGGACGGACACUGACGCUGAGGCGCGAAAGCGUGGGGAGCAAACAGG
rnacentral:rRNA from 1 species